rnacentral:rRNA from 1 species
AUACGUAGGGGGCAAGCGUUGUCCGGAUUUAUUGGGCGUAAAGGGUGCGUAGGCGGCCUUUUAAGUCAGAUGUGAAAGGUCACGGCUCAACCGUGGUAAGCAUUUGAAACUGAAAGGCUUGAGUUAAGGAGAGGAAAGUGGAAUUCCUAGUGUAGCGGUGAAAUGCGUAGAUAUUAGGAGGAAUACCAGUGGCGAAGGCGACUUUCUGGACUUAUACUGACGCUGAGGCACGAAAGCGUGGGGAGCGAACAGGAUUAGAUACCCUGGUAGUCCACGCCGUAAACGAUGAGUGCUAGGUGUUGGGGGUCAAACCUCGGUGCCGCAGCUAACGCAUUAAGCACUCCGCCUGGGGAGUACGUACGCAAGUAUGAA